rnacentral:rRNA from 1 species
AAACGCGAAGAACCUUACCUGGAUUUUGACAUCCGCGGGAUCUUUUGGAAACAAGAGAGUGCCCUUCGGGGAGCCGCGAGACAGGUGCUGCAUGGCUGUCAGUCAGCAUCGUGUCGUGAGAUGUUGGGUUAAGUCCCGCAACGAGCGCAACACCUGUCUUCAGUUACCAUCAUUCAGUUGGGGACUCUGAAGAUACUGCCCCAGGUCAACGGGGAGGAAGGUGGGGAUGACAGUCAAGUCACUCAUGGCCAUUUAUGUCCAGGGCUAACACGUGCUACAAUGGGCUGUACAGAGGGUAGCGACCUCGCGAGAGCAAGUCAAUCCCAAAAAGCAGUCCUUAGUUCGAAUUGGAGUCUGCAACUCGACUCAAUGAAGCUGGAAUCGCUAGUAAUCGCAGGAUCAGCAUGCCGCAGGUAG